rnacentral:rRNA from 1 species
AACGUAGGUGGCAAGCGUUAUCCGGAAUUACUGGGCGUAAAGCGUGCGCAGGCGGUCUUGCAAGACAGAUGUGAAAUCCCCGGGCUCAACCUGGGAACUGCAUUUGUGACUGCAAGGCUGGAGUGCGGCAGAGGGGGAUGGAAUUCCGCGUGUAGCAGUGAAAUGCGUAGAUAUGCGGAGGAACACCGAUGGCGAAGGCAAUCCCCUGGGCCUGCACUGACGCUCAUGCACGAAAGCGUGGGGAGCAAACAGG